rnacentral:rRNA from 1 species
CCCUUAGAUGUUCUGGGCUGCACGCGCGCUACACUGAUGCGUUCAACAAGUCGGACCUCGUCCGAGAGGAAAUCGGGGGAAUCUUUUGAAAACGUAUCGUGAUGGGGAUAGAUUAUUGUAAUUAUUAAUCUUCAACGAGGAAUUCCUAGUAAGCAUGAAUCAUCAGCUCGUGCUGAUUACGUCCCUGCCCUUUGUACACACCGCCCGUCGCUACUACUGAUUGGACCUUUAAGCAAGAUUUUUAAACACUGACAGUUAAUGGCUUCGGCCAAGACACAGUGAGAAGAAGAAGAUCGAGCUUACUUGUCUAGAGGAAGUAAAAGUCGUAACA